CGCAAGCCUGAUGCAGCCAUGCCGCGUGUAUGAAGAAGGCCUUCGGGUUGUAAAGUACUUUCAGCAGUGAGGAAGGUGGUGUCGUUAAUAGCGGCAUCAUUUGACGUUAGCAACAGAAGAAGCACCGGCUAACUCCGUGCCAGCAGCCGCGGUAAUACGGAGGGUGCGAGCGUUAAUCGGAAUUACUGGGACGUAAAGCGCAUGCAGGUGGUUUGUUAAGUCAGAUGUGAAAGCCCCGGGGCUCAACCUCGGAACUGCAUUUGAAACUGGCAGACUAGAGUACUGUAGAGGGGGUAGAAUUUCAGGUGUAGCGGUGAAAUGCGUAGAGAUCUGAAGGAAUACCGGUGGCGAAGGCGGCCCCCUGGACAGAUACUGACACUCAGAUGCGAAAGCGUGGGGAGCAAACAGGAUUAGAUACCCUGGUAG
rnacentral:rRNA from 1 species